rnacentral:rRNA from 1 species
CCUACGGGUGGCAGCAGUGAGGAAUAUUGGUCAAUGGACGCAAGUCUGAACCAGCCAUGCCGCGUGCAGGAAGACGGCUCUAUGAGUUGUAAACUGCUUUUGUACGAGGGUAAACGCAGAUACGCGUAUCUGUCUGAAAGUAUCGUACGAAUAAGGAUCGGCUAACUCCGUGCCAGCAGCCGCGGUAAUACGGAGGAUUCAAGCGUUAUCCGGAUUUAUUGGGUUUAAAGGGUGCGUAGGCGGUCGGGUAAGUUAGCGGUGAAAUCCCGAGGCUCAACUUCGGGAGUGCCUCUGAUACUGUUCGGCUAGAGAGUAGUUGCGGUAGGCGGAAUGUAUGGUGUAGCGGUGAAAUGCUUAGAGAUCGUACAGAACACCGAUUGCGAAGGCAGCUUACCAAGCUACUUCUGACGUUGAGGCACGAAAGCGUGGGGAGCGAACAGGAUUAGAUACCCGAGUAGUC